UACGGAGGGUGCAAGCGUUAUCCGGAUUCACUGGGUUUAAAGGGUGCGUAGGUGGUGAGGUAAGUCGGAUGUGAAAUCUCCGAGCUCAACUCGGAAAUGGCAUUGGAAACUACCUUGCUAGAGGGUUGGAGGGGGACUGGAAUACUUGGUGUAGCAGUGAAAUGCGUAGAUAUCAAGUGGAACACCAGUGGCGAAGGCGAGUCCCUGGACAACUCCUGACACUGAGGCACGAAAGCUAGGGAGCAAAUGGG
rnacentral:rRNA from 1 species